AUUGGACAGAAUUCAACACUGCAAGGCACAGGGGCCACCCUCCUAGAUCCUCAAUGGCUGACGAUGUACAAGAUGCAUGCUGGAUCCUGUAGGGUUUUUAACUAAAACCCUGAUGUCCUCUUAUACUUCUGCUACUUGUCUUGUUCUUAAAAACCAAGAACUAGCAAAUACUGGGUGACAGGCGUCAGCUUGCUGCCUGGGUUCUGCCCUAACAGGAGUUGACAAUAUUGCAGCAAAUCAACACUACACGCUUUGGACAAAACAGCAGCCCUGCCUUGCUACUGUAAAGGGCAUUUGUCAUGUUGUUUGCAGUAGGGGGAUGGUUUCCCCUCUCCUUCUGGACUUGCACCUAAUUCCGACCGGAGUGUGUACCAGCUGCCUGCCCCAGACUGGCCCAGCAGUCAUCUAUCUAGAUGAGAAGCAAUUUCAUAAAUUCAAACGGGGCACAUUUCCUAUGCAAUUUAUUUAGCUUAACAAGUUAAUCAGAGUCCACGAGCCCAAUUUGUCACUGUGCUAUUUUCUUUUGCUGGCUGCUCUAAUUGUAUAAAUAUGCCCAGAGGUUUGACGAAACUUCUAACACAUCAAACAAUAAAUGGCCCACUUACAGAGUGUACUGUGGCUAUUUUGAAGCAAGGCUUUUCCCCUCUUGAAGCUGGCAGCUCCUACCCAUCUAACAGCCUGGCACCAUGCUGGCAGCUCCUGCCCAUCUAAUACCCUGGCACCAUUUGGUUACUGGUCUUUUGCUUUUUUUUUUUUUUCUUUUUUGAGACAGGGUCUUGUUUUGUCACCCACACUGGAGUGCAGUAGUGCAAUCCACAGCCUCAAACUCCUGGGCUCCAGAGAUCCUCCUACCUCCACCUCCCAAGUAGCUGGGACUACAGUUGUGCAUCAUUAUGCUUGGCUAAUUUUAUAAAUUUUUUAAUAGACAGGGUCUCACUAUGUUGCCCAGGCUUCUCUCAAACUCCCGGGCUCAAGUGAUCCUCCAACCCUGACCUCCCAAAGUGCUGGGAUUACAGGCAUGAGCCGUUUUGCCCAGCGUGGUCCUUUGGAUUCACUCGCAGCACCCAGGACCUGAACGGCAGCAAACAGGGAAUGGUGGGCAAGGUGGAAAGAUGCCGCAAAAUGCAGCUGUCUCUGACUCCUGGUCUAAUUCCAGAAAACACCACAUCGUAUCCUCCACCAGGUCUUCUCCCUCUUUGGGAUUAGGCAAAAGGGCAAAUGGCCAGACUUGGGGGCUCAAGAGCUUGCUUUCUCUGAGACGUGGGCCUCUUCUGUCAAAUUCGCAUCUGAACUGCUUUCAGUGCCUGAUUUAUGAAGAGGCAGGCAGCGAGGCUGUUCGGCUGGUCCCUGGAAACCGAUCAUAAAUCUGAGGCGUGUAUCACAGGUGGUAGACUUCUCUGAGCUGAUGGCCAAGAGAAGCGUAGGAAACCGAGACGAAUGUGUCUGCAUUGAGUCCUGGAAGUGUGCGUUUCCAGGAUUUCCUUUUUAUUCAUUUUGAAUUCCCUCCUCUUGGAUUUAAACCUUCUGUCUCCUCUGUGUUCACGUGAACAUUUCAACCUAUCAAUUUCAUUUUAAUAAAGGAGGUGUCCAGCGAGGAGAUAAAACGUUUUUUAAGACAGAAAACUUCUGCCCCCCCACCCCACCCCCAUUUUUCACACAUUUUGUCCCCAGUCGCAGAUGUUUCCUCUGCCUUAUCGGUGUGCUGAAAAGAAAUGCAAUACGCUGGGCUUUCAAAUUUUCCGCCACGGAAACAAAAGACAACAGGAGGGGAGAGGGGCCUUGCUUAACCUGGAGCCAGGAUAGGCUAAGGGGAAAUGGAAAAAGGCCGGUGCCGUGGGAGCAGAGUUGGCAGAGCCAAUGCCACAGAUCCUGUUUCCUUGGUUCAGUGCUGAAAAGCAGUCAAGUAACAAGUGCUCCACCCUCCUGUCCAGCGCCACCGCGGAUAUAGCCCUGAUGUCACCUUCCUUAUGAUCUCAGGGCUCCAGCUUCAGGCUGAGUUGGGAUUGUGCACAGGGGCCCAGUAGACAGCCCCCUCCCAGUCUUCUCUCUGCUCUUCUGCUGUACUCGCUGGGAAUUUCCACGUCCCCAUGAUGUUAAUUGCAUGCUUCCUGAGCCAUAGCCCUUUCUAUCAUGUCCAGGAAGUCAGUGACCAAGUCCUCUGCCCCACCCUGCCCCACUAGCUCAGGUGUAACCUAACUCUCAAAGCACUUUAUUUAGAAUUUUAACUUGAAUGUGCACAGUGGGCCCCCUUGUGAUGCCCACAGCCUGCACCCAGGUGUGUGAACUGUGUCACUAAUCAUGCAGGCCUCAAGACAUUCUGAGGAGGCCAUUGCCACAUGCCAGCCAGCAACUACAUCGCCCUCUUGCCAAACCCCCCUAAAUGGGUAUCCAGAGUGUCCCCUCUUAUCUGGCAGCUACCACCACCUUAGUUCCCACCUUCACCUCUCUCAGUCUCCAGCAUGGGCAAAUGUUUUAUUUUAAUAUUAUACUUAGAUGUUUAUUUUAAUGGAUAAUAGAAAAUAAAUUGGGGUGGUGCAUCGUGGCUCAUGCCUGUAAUCUCAGCACUUUGGGAGGUUGAGAUAGAUAGAUCAUUUGAGCACAGGAGUUUGAGACCAGCCUGGGCAAUGUAGGGAGGUCUUAUCACUACAAAAAAAAAAAUGUUUUUAAUUAGUUCAAUGUCAUGGUGCAUGCCUGUGGUCCCAGUUACUCAGGAGGCUGAGGUGAAAGGAUUGCUUGAGCCCAGGAGGUCGAGGCUGCAGUGGGCUGAGAUUGUGCCAAUGCACUCCAGCCUGGGUGACAGAGUGAGACUCUGUCUCAAAAAAAAAAAAAAAGGAAGAAAAUAAGUUGCUUUUUCAUUUUAUAGUAGUAAUAUAAAGCUAUCUUUUCAAGUAAACAUAUCUAAAUAAAGAAGUAAGUUCAUUGCGCCGGGCAUGGAGGCCGAGGCGGGCAGAUCCCCUGAGGUCAGGAGUUUGAGACCAGCCUGGCCAACAUGGCAAAACCCCAUCUCUACUAAAAAUACAAAAAUUAGCUGGCUUGUAGUCCCAGCUACUAGGGGGGCUGAGGCAGGAGAAUUGCUUGAACCCAGGGGGUAGAGGUUGCAGUGACCCAACAUCGUGCCACUGCACUCCAGCCUGGGUGACAGAGUGAGAUUCCACCUCAGGAAAAAAAAAAAAAAAAAAAAGAAGUAAGUUCAUUUACAUUUUGAAAAGUUAAGACAGGCAGCUUGUAGCAUGCAGAUAGGGCAAAACAAGGGCCACAUGAUGUGCUGGUCGAGGACUCGAGCCUGAGUCUGAAGCCCAGCUCUGUAACUGGCUAGCUGUGUGACCUUGGGCAAGUUCCUUAACCUCUCUCUGUUCCUCCUAGGGUUGCAGUGAGGUUUAGGUGAGUUACUGCUGGACUGAGCAGGGUGAGUGUCGCACAGUGUUGCCGCCUCACCACUGGGGAGCUCCAGACUAUCACACCAGGCUUCCCCGCGCCUCCUGGAGGGAUGGUUCUAAAAGCUGACCCUGAUCUUGUCAUUUCUCUGCUGUAAACUCUCCCCACGAGGAAGUCUGAACCUCUCACAAUGGCCCCCAGGGGCUUCUGUGAUCUGUCUCCAGUCGAUUUCUACAACUUGCUCUGCCAUUUGUCAUUUGUACUCAAUAAUGCCGCAAUGCCAGGCUCAUGACUGCCCCCCAGAUGCACCUCGCUCGUUCAGGCUCCUGUGCAGUCCCAUGCUACACCCUCUGUCAGUCCUGCCUCUCCCUCGUCUUGUCCAUUGAUGGGCAAACUUCUCCUCCUGUGUCCAGGCUUGUUCAAAUAUCAGUUCCCCAAGAUACCUUCCUUGAUUCUUCCUCCAUGGAUGGGGUUAGGCACUGAAACAGCAGAAAUGUGCUACCUGUGCCUCCAUUUAAAAUCACAAAGCUAAAACUAGGUAAAAUUCCAGGUUAUUUUUUAAAAUUAUGAACAAAAUGAUUAGAGGCCAAGCAUGGUGGCUCACGCCUGUAAUCCUAACACUGGGAGGCCAAGGCAGGUGAAUCACUUAAGGUCAGGAGUUUAAGACCAGCCUGGCCAACAUGGUGAAGCCCCAUCUCUAUUAAAAAAAAAUAAUAAUAAUAAUAAUAAUUAGCCAGGUGUGGUGGUGCAUUCUUGCAAUCCCAGCUACUUGGGAGGCUGAGGCGAGAGGAUCACUUGAACCCAGGAGGCAGAGGUUGCAAUGAGCCAAGAUCAUGCCACUACACUCCAGCCUGGAUGACAGAGCAAGACUGCAUCUCAAAAAUAAAUAAAAAAAUAAACAAGUUAUGAACAAAAUAUCAUGUUAAUAGCGAAAAAGGGUUUGACUUAAGAUUUCAACUUGAUAAAUGAAUAGAAAAUUACUUCAAAAUACAUUUAUCUGAUUUUUAAGCAUAUUUAAGUUACCACCACAACUAUGUGCUAAUUUUGGAACUAACAAGGAAUAAUAACUGGCCUUUGUUUAUAAUUCCUAUAAAAUUAUGUGAUAAAUCAAUAUGACAGUUUGAUGUUUGGCUUUGGUAGCGGGAUUACUUAGAAAGAUCAUUUCGUGAACCUAUCAAAGAGUUUCAUUCAUUUUCUCAAGAAACUCUCAAUACCUUGACGUUCAACCCAUCCUCUUCUCAUGCAGUUACUGUGUCAUUAUCCCUGAUGAUUUUUCUCUUUUUCAUUUGCCAACACUCUACCAUGGCCAGGUCUUCUUUGAACACUGGCUUUGUGAACUAUUCCAAGUAGUCCUGCAAUAUCGCUUUCAUCUGCUUCAUGAAACCCUGCAUCUUUGGCAAGACUGGUGAUUUCAGUUUGCAAUUGAUUUGAAUUGUCUUACUCAGGUGUGUUGAAACGUUUAGAACAUGCGACAAUCACAAAGGGGCUGAAGACAAAGAGAUUUCUGUAGAUACUGGAGGGGUGUUCUGAGGACAUUUGCAUCUCCCUACAAACUGAUACUUCAGAGACUCCAAGACUGAAUACUCAGCAAGAACCUCUGUCUCUCUUGUAGCCCCUACAACUGACUGAUUUAUAAUUGAACAUGUGUGCCUUCUGCUUGCACCCAAAAUGUGCCUUCAGCGCCCUGUAUUCCUCUUUCUGCAUCUGUCCCCUACUUCUCUCUUCUCCAACCUCAUGCCUCCAUCACCACCCUGACACACAUAGACAACUACACACACCCUUCCCGUCUUCCUCCCAUUUUCAUUUUCUUUUCUUUAUUUUUUUCUUUCUUUCUUUUUUGCGACGGAGUCUCCCUCUGUCGCCCAGGCUGGAGUGCAGUGGCGUGAUCUCGGCUCACUGCAAGCUCCGCCUCCCGGGUUCACGCCAUUCUCCUGCCUCAGCCUCCCGUGUAGCUGGGACUACAGGCGCCCGCCACCACGCCCGGCUAAUUUUUUUUGUAUUUUUAGUAGAGACGGGAUUUCACCGUGUUAGCCAGGAUGGUCUUGAUCUCCUGACCUCGUGAUCCACCCGUCUCGGCCUCCCAAAGUGCUGGGAUUACAGGCGUUAGCCACCGCGCCCGGCCUGCCAUUUUCAUUUUCAAACACUGGAUGUUGAGAAAGGUGAUUCUCACUGAUACCAUCAGGCAGGAACGGCAAAUACAUUUUUAAUUAUCACGUUCAACCUUAUCAGUUAAUAUAGCUGCCCUGGAGUUAUCUAUGGGAAGAGAAUGUGGAUGGGAUCCUAGUCCUGCCCCAGGGUGGAUUUUACACACAUGGAUCCUCUCCGGGACUCUUCACAUCAAGUCCCUUCGCUCAGCCUGUUGAGUCGUCUAGUAACCAUCCCUGAAAACACUUCUGCAUGCCAGGACUUAGCCCAGAGCCCUGAUGAAGGAACAGCUUGGGCUGCUAUCCAGGAAUCUCAUGUUGCAGAUGGGGUUGGGAGCAGGAUACAUUCCAUAUUCUUAACAUUUUGCAGACUGUACAAAUGGUAAUUUUUAUUGUUCAAGUCAUAUGAAACAUGUUUCCUUUUUUCUGCUAUGUGUUGGCAAAGUUUUUUUCUCUGUCAGAAAUACCCACCACUCCAAGAUACCCACCUCUCUAGUCCUGAAGAAGAAUGUGAGCCACAUUUUCUACUGGGCCCAAAGAGGUCACGGCACACCCUGAAGCCUCCAGAAAUACCAGAAAUGGGUCAUCAAGGGACAAGAUCUUGCUUUGCUUCACUGGAACCAUCCAUCUAUCCAUCUAUUCAUUUAUUUAUUCAGUGAAUGAGACCACCAGUCUCUGUCCAUGAUACAGAGGGCCAAAGUCAGCCAAGUUCACCUUAGGGAAGAGCUGGGCACAUCAAAUGAACCUCUCAGAAGGAGCCAUAUCUCAGUGAGAUAAUGACUUUUAUAAUAUCAAUUGUAUUUUUUUAAUUUUAAAUUUUUCUCAUAGAGAAUGUGGACAAAUACACAAGUUGACAGAAAAUAACACACCUCCACAUAUCCUUCCUCCAAUUCUGUCAGUAAAUUCACUUUUAAUUUCAUAAAUAGCACAAGAUUACGUUCAUUUGUAAAAAUUAUUUUCAGUUGAUAUAAAGCUCAAUAUCUUCUUAACCACCUCCCCCAGUCUCACACCCUAUGCCAGAGGUAACUACUAUCAUUUGGAGGGUUCCCUUCCUGUCCUUUUUCUAUAGACUUUUAUGUAUCUAUGUACUUUUAGGAAUACAUUAUAUUGCUUUGGGUUUGUUCUAUAGUUUUGAUUGUAUGUUGUGUGUUGUUGCUCUUACGUAGUUUAUUUCAUUCUGGAUCUUUCUGUGUAUUGAUUAUUUUCACCAAAUGGUAAGUCUUAGAGAGAUUUCCAAGUCUGUGCAUUGAGUUCUAUCCCUUAGUCAUCACUGAAAGUUCAUGUUGACCACAGGGGACUGGGGACAUGAAAUCAACCUGGAGGAGGUGAUGGCUACCACAGGACUGUGCAUUUUUGAACUUUGGAGAAAAAGUUAGGUUGCUUCCAAUUGCUGGCUAAACAAUGCUGCCAUGAACAUCUUUGUGCCAAGAGUCCUUGGUUCAUGUACAAGGACUUUCCUGGGGGUAGAUAGUGAUACCUGGAGGUGGAAUUGCUGGGUCAAGGAGGAUCCCCAUACACAUUAUUAAUUUUUGUAAAUACUGCCAAAUGUUCUCACAUCAUACUUCCACUGGAAAAAAAAAUGUCCAUUUUCCC
rnacentral:lncRNA from 1 species